rnacentral:lncRNA from 1 species
AAAGAUUUAGUCUUAUCUUAACGUGCAAAAAACUGGUUCGAGAAUAGUCUCUCAUACUAACGAAGAGUAUAAUGAGACGAAGAUGGAUGAUGUUUUUAUCGGAAAUGAUAUUCUCCGGCAAAAUUCAGAGUUGGUGGAUCAAAUCUGUCAAAGCAUGAGGAGAGUGUCAGUCUUACUUUCACAAGUUUUUUGGCGAAUGUCACAGAUGAAUAGGCAUAAACCUCGACUUAAAACUAGAUGCACUUUGUUGCUUUUUUUGCUUGAAUUUUUGGUACUUUCGCUUUUUAUAUAAAUUCAAAUCGGAUUGUACUUUCUUGUAUAUUGAUUAGUGUAUACG